CGUUUAAGGCGAUAGUGCAACUUGCAGUUGGUAGCUUUAAUUUCUGUAUUCGGAAUAGUUGCAGACAUGUUUUUUCGUGAUUUAUUCGCUCGACUGCACCCGCACAAUGAAAUUUGCCAAUGGGCGAAUGGAUAAUGUCGGAGCAACCCGAGGCCAUGAUAGCUGUACUUCUCAAGGACACAAUAGAUAAGUAUUAAAGAAAUCGCAGUUAAGGAGGUAGUGGUGUUCGGUGCCAACCUGACCCGAAUUACAUAGCCUGCAGACUCUAUCUUCAAAUGGGGUUCCGUCGUAUCGGCCUGUCUCGACUGGAAACCAGUGGUUAGCAGUCCUGAAUUGGAAUAGGUUGGAUGAGGGUUCUGUCCCCCCACUGGCCUAAUGGCUAUGGUUGCUGUCUGCUGUGGUCCUACUAUGGUUAUUGGACUGUGGAGUGUCCCUAGAGGGCACACGGUUAUCAGUACGCGCAGAAUCCCAGGGGCGUUGGAUGCUGGGCACAGAUGACUGGGUGUUCAGUGGAGUUCUGGGAGAUACUGGAGGAUGAUUACGAGCAUGAGCUUUUGAAGAAUUAGGAGAAGCAGACUGCGAGCGUCUUGAUACGUGUUCAGAAUUGGGAGUUAGAGUAUUGGGAGUGAUGACCAUGGUUGUUUUCCUCUGGUUAGCAGAGGUUGUGAUAGGCUCUGGCGGGAUAUUGUUCCUGGCGCUUUGGGGAGGAGGGACACUGUGUGCCUGAUUCGACCGUGGUACUUCGGGGAACGUGGCAGUUGGAGUAAUGGGAGUGGCGACCGCAGUUGUGUUCCUCCGGUUGCCAGAGGUUGUGAUAGAAGCUGACGGGAUAUUGUUCCAGGUGCUUUGGCGAGAACGGAAACUGUGUGCCUGACUCGUCCCGAAGACUUCGGGGAUUGUGCGAACUCUGUUACCGUUGAG